GGGUUGUGAGGUUAAGCGACUAAGCGUACACGGUGGAUGCCUAGGCAGUCAGAGGCGAUGAAGGGCGUGCUAAUCUGCGAUAAGCGUCGGUAAGCUGAUAUGAAGCGUUAUACCCGACGAUACCCGAAUGGGGAAACCCAGUGUGUUUCGACACACUAUCAUUAACUGAAUACAUAGGUUAAUGAGGCGAACCGGGGGAACUGAAACAUCUCAGUACCCCGAGGAAAAGAAAUCAACCGAGAUUCCCCCAGUAGCGGCGAGCGAACGGGGAGGAGCCCAGAACCUGAAUCAGUUUGUGUGUUAGUGGAAGCGUCUGGAAAGUCGCACAGUAAAGGGUGAUAGUCCCGUACACAAAAAUGCACAAGUUGUGAGUUCGAUGAGUAGGGCGGGACACGUGACAUCCUGUCUGAAUAUGGGGGGACCAUCCUCCAAGGCUAAAUACUCCUGACUGACCGAUAGUGAACCAGUACCGUGAGGGAAAGGCGAAAAGAACCCCGGCGAGGGGAGUGAAAUAGAACCUGAAACCGUGUACGUACAAGCAGUGGGAGCCUACUUGUUAGGUGACUGCGUACCUUUUGUAUAAUGGGUCAGCGACUUAUAUUCUGUAGCAAGGUUAACCGUAUAGGGGAGCCGCAGGGAAACCGAGUCUUAACUGGGCGUUAAGUUGCAGGGUAUAGACCCGAAACCCGGUGAUCUAGCCAUGGGCAGGUUGAAGGUUGGGUAACACUAACUGGAGGACCGAACCGACUAAUGUUGAAAAAUUAGCGGAUGACUUGUGGCUGGGGGUGAAAGGCCAAUCAAACCGGGAGAUAGCUGGUUCUCCCCGAAAGCUAUUUAGGUAGCGCCUCGUGAAUUCAUCUUCGGGGGUAGAGCACUGUUUCGGCUAGGGGGUCAUCCCGACUUACCAACCCGAUGCAAACUACGAAUACCGAAGAAUGUUAUCACGGGAGACACACGGCGGGUGCUAACGUUCGUCGUGAAGAGGGAAACAACCCAGACCGCCAGCUAAGGUCCCAAAGUCAUGGUUAAGUGGGAAACGAUGUGGGAAGGCACAGACAGCCAGGAUGUUGGCUUAGAAGCAGCCAUCAUUUAAAGAAAGCGUAAUAGCUCACUGGUCGAGUCGGCCUGCGCGGAAGAUGUAACGGGGCUAAACCAUGCACCGAAGCUGCGGCAGCGACACUUAGGUGUUGUUGGGUAGGGGAGCGUUCUGUAAGCCGUCGAAGGUGGCCUGUGAGGGCUGCUGGAGGUAUCAGAAGUGCGAAUGCUGACAUAAGUAACGAUAAUGCGGGUGAAAAACCCGCACGCCGGAAGACCAAGGGUUCCUGUCCAACGUUAAUCGGGGCAGGGUGAGUCGACCCCUAAGGCGAGGCUGAAAAGCGUAGUCGAUGGGAAACAGGUUAAUAUUCCUGUACUCGGUGUUACUGCGAAGGGGGGACGGAGAAAGCUAGGUUAUCCGGGCGACGGUUGUCCCGGUUUAAGCGUGAAGGUGGAUGACUUUGGUAAAUCCGGGUCGUCAUUAACACUGAGGCGUGAUGACGAGUCACUACGGUGAUGAAGUAACCAAUGCUACGCUUCCAGGAAAAGCCUCUAAGCUCCAGGUAACAUCAAAUCGUACCCCAAACCGACACAGGUGGUCAGGUAGAGAAUACUCAGGCGCUUGAGAGAACUCGGGUGAAGGAACUAGGCAAAAUGGUGCCGUAACUUCGGGAGAAGGCACGCUGAUGGUAGGUGAAGUGACUUGCUCAUGGAGCUGAAAUCAGUCGAAGAUACCAGCUGGCUGCAACUGUUUAAUAAAAACACAGCACUGUGCAAACACGAAAGUGGACGUAUACGGUGUGACGCCUGCCCGGUGCCGGAAGGUUAAUUGAUGGGGUCAGCCGCAAGGCGAAGCUCUUGAUCGAAGCCCCGGUAAACGGCGGCCGUAACUAUAACGGUCCUAAGGUAGCGAAAUUCCUUGUCGGGUAAGUUCCGACCUGCACGAAUGGCGUAAUGAUGGCCAGGCUGUCUCCACCCGAGACUCAGUGAAAUUGAACUCGCUGUGAAGAUGCAGUGUACCCGCGGCAAGACGGAAAGACCCCGUGAACCUUUACUAUAGCUUGACACUGAACCUUGAGCCUUGAUGUGUAGGAUAGGUGGGAGGCUUUGAAGCGUGGACGCCAGUCUGCGUGGAGCCAACCUUGAAAUACCACCCUUUAAUGUUUGAUGUUCUAACGUGGACCCGUAAUCCGGGUUGCGGACAGUGUCUGGUGGGUAGUUUGACUGGGGCGGUCUCCUCCCAAAGCGUAACGGAGGAGCACGAAGGUUAGCUAAUCCUGGUCGGACAUCAGGAGGUUAGUGCAAAGGCAUAAGCUAGCUUGACUGCGAGAGUGACAGCUCGAGCAGGUGCGAAAGCAGGUCUUAGUGAUCCGGUGGUUCUGAAUGGAAGGGCCAUCGCUCAACGGAUAAAAGGUACUCCGGGGAUAACAGGCUGAUACCGCCCAAGAGUUCAUAUCGACGGCGGUGUUUGGCACCUCGAUGUCGGCUCAUCACAUCCUGGGGCUGAAGUAGGUCCCAAGGGUAUGGCUGUUCGCCAUUUAAAGUGGUACGCGAGCUGGGUUUAGAACGUCGUGAGACAGUUCGGUCCCUAUCUGCCGUGGGCGUUGGAAGAUUGAGAGGGGUUGCUCCUAGUACGAGAGGACCGGAGUGAACGCACCACUGGUGUACGGGUUGUGAUGCCAAUUGCAUUGCCCGGUAGCUAAGUGCGGAAGAGAUAACCGCUGAAAGCAUCUAAGCGGGAAACUUGCCUCGAGAUGAGUCUUCCCUGGGUACUUGAUACCCCUGAAGGGCCGUUGAAGACGACGACGUAGAUAGGCUGGGUGUGUAAGCGUAGCGAUACGUUGAGCUAACCAGUACUAAUGACCCGAGAGGCUUAACCUUACAACACCGAAGGUGUUU
rnacentral:rRNA from 1 species